AGGGGCUAAUACCCGAUGUGCUCAGCAGUUCACUCUGUUGAGUAAAGCUAUGGCGCUUUGGGAUGGGCCCGCGGCCCAUCAGCUAGUUGGUAGGGUAAUGGCCUACCAAGGCUAAGACGGGUAGGGGGCGUGAGAGCGCGAUCCCCCACACUGGCACUGAGACACGGGCCAGACUCCUACGGGAGGCAGCAGUGAGGAAUAUUGCGCAAUGGACGAAAGUCUGACGCAGCGACGCCGCGUGGGCGAUGAAGGCCUUCGGGUCGUAAAGCCCUUUUCUGGGGGAAGAGAAAGGACGGUACCCCAGGAAUAAGCCCCGGCUAACUACGUGCCAGCAGCCGCGGUAAAACGUAGGGGGCAAGCGUUAUCCGGAUUUACUGGGCGUAAAGAGCGUUGAGGCGGUUUUGUGAGUUGGGCGUGAAAGCCCUGGGCUUAACUCAGGGAAGCCGUUCAAUACUGCGAAACUUGAGGGCAGCAGAGGGAGGUGGAAUUCCCGGAGUAGCGGUGAAAUGCGUAGAUGUCGGGAGGAACACCAGUGGCGAAGGCGGCCUCCUGGGCUGCUCCUGACGCUGAAGGCGAAAGCUAGGGGAGCAAACGGGAUUAGAAGGCCCGGUAGUCCUGGCCGUAAGCGAUGGAUGCUAGGUGUGGGGGGUGUAGAUUCCCUCCGUGCCGGCAGUUACGCGUUAAGCAUCCCGCCUGGGGAGUACGGCCGCAAGGCUAAAACUCAAACGAAUUGACGGGGGCCCGCACAAGCAGCGGAGCGUGUGGUUAACUUCGAUGCUACACGAAGAACCUUACCUGGGCUUGACAUACAGGUAGUAGUGAAGUGAAAGCGGAUCGACCCUUCGGGGAGCCUGUACAGGUGCUGCAUGGCUGUCGUCAGCUCGUGCCGUGAGGUGUCGGGUUAAGUCCCGUAACGAGCGCAACCCUUGCUCUUAGUUAUACGUGUCUAAGAGGACUGCCGUCGGUAAGCCGGAGCAAGGUGGGGAUGACGUCAAGUCAGCAUGGCCUUUAUGUCCAGGGCUACACACACGCUACAAUGGCCGGUACAAUGGGUAGCUAA
rnacentral:rRNA from 1 species